UGGCUUCUUGUGCUGUUAUAGUUCGCUACAGACAGGUACAUAAGUUCCCUACAGCUACAAGUAUGGUACCAUAAUGUGUCAUCUAUUCGAUUUUGAGGUUUGGUAUUGAUUCAUUGAUCCCCUUUCCUAGGAUUCAUUAUUGGAAAUUGAUCUUGGGCUAUGGAACUAAGAUGAUCUACUCAAAAAGUUUUCUUACCACUAUAUCUUUUUUAUGUGCUAAAUCACUGAUUAAUUACUACACUUAGCAAGAAUUUCCUUUACAAACAAAGCUAGCGUUCGAGGGUGUGGAGGAGGUGAAACACAUGGGGUCACCAUCAGCCUUUCCCUCUAGAUCUGGUGCGUGUAAUUUAACCUGGAUAUUCAGAGACGUAUUGAAAGGAAAACAAUUUGGACCUUAGUUGUAUAUUUGAUGAAGCUAUCUAAUUUGGACUUGAAAUUACACUGUAAAAUUUCCUUUCAACUGCUAACUCAAUUUACAAUUUUCUGAACUUUACUUCUGCCACCAUAUGCUCCCAGUCAUCCCCGCCACAUGUACGUCGCUGGUUCAUCCUGAUGCUUGUCAUCCUCAUUGCGACUGCCGUAGUUUGGCACCAGGCUACCUACCGGCGACGUUGCCCCGCAUCCCGUUGCCAGCUACUGCUCCUUACGGGUCCGCGAGUACCUGCAUGAUUGGAUGCCUUACGGGCACGCACGCUCCUUCCUGAUCUGAUUUGUUCUCAUGGGAAAUCACUUCCUGCCAAUUCCUCAAAGUUCACAAACAGUUUUUAUUUCAUGGAUUUAUUUUUGGCAUUGACUGCUGCACAUUUAGAUAGAUGCAUAUAAUUUGCAUGUCAUGAAGGGAAAAAGACAUCACUGAGCCGUUUGUUUCUAAUUGCGAGGUUAAAUAAUUUUGUGUGUUCUAACUCUAUGGGAUAAUCUGAAGUUAUUUGGCUCAUCGUUGUGCCACAAGUUUCUAACAUCACCGUGCCUGUACACCAUCGACUUCACUGGAAAUAUGUCUGCACGUACUUCAUCGUCCGCCGGAACUUUGUCUGACCUGAG
rnacentral:lncRNA from 1 species